AGAGUUUGAUCCUGGCUCAGAUUGAACGCUGGCGGCAUGCCUUACACAUGCAAGUCGAACGCGAAAGCGGGGCAACCUGCGAGUAGAGUGGCGAACGGGUGAGUAAAGCAUCGGAACGUAUCCCGUCGUGGGGGAUAACCCGCCGAAAGGUGGGCUAAUACCGCAUACGACCUGAGGGAGAAAGCGGGGGACCCGCAAGGGCCUCGCGCGAUGGGAGCGGCCGAUGUCGGAUUAGCUAGUUGGUAGGGUAACGGCCUACCAAGGCGACGAUCCGUAGCUGGUCUGAGAGGAUGAUCAGCCACACUGGGACUGAGACACGGCCCAGACUCCUACGGGAGGCAGCAGUGGGGAAUUUUGGACAAUGGGGGCAACCCUGAUCCAGCCAUGCCGCGUGAGUGAAGAAGGCCUUCGGGUUGUAAAGCUCUUUCGGCCGGGACGAAAUCGCGCCCUUGAAUACGGGGUGUGGAUGACGGUACCGGAACAAGAAGCACCGGCUAACUACGUGCCAGCAGCCGCGGUAAUAC
rnacentral:rRNA from 1 species